CACGUACUCCCACCGUCCGGAAAUACUUGUCAUUGAAAUGGAUGUAUCUAGAUGUAUUUUAGUUGUAGAUACAUCCUUUUUCAUCCAUUUUAAUGACAAAUAAUUCCGGACGGAGGGAGUAGUUG
rfam:Triticum urartu cultivar G1812 contig770337, whole genome shotgun sequence.